CUAGUCAUUAUCUGAGUCAUAUUUUAAUACCGUAGCAACUAUGAAUUUCGAUAAUACUUUAAAAUAAUAAGCAAAUGCUAUUUUAAAUGCUGUUUCAUGCCUUGGCUGUCACAGAUGCAGAGGCUGGAGCAGACUACUGUCAAAUAUACAACAUUAGCAUAUUGUUACCAAAGCUGUGUGGGAGGAAAUACCAUUCUGUAUCACCUUUUCCAAGAUGCAGUUUCCUGCCUUUUUUCUUCUACCUGGACCAUAAUUACAUUUUUAGUACAGUCUUUUGCAUAUUCCUUCAGUGCACUUUCUAUUUUGCUUACAGCCUUUCUCCUAAUUGGAAGCAGGGACAGGCUUGAUCUUCUCGUGCUUAAUUUCUCUGUUCAUUCCCACUUACAGGAUGGGCAAGAUGGCAAAAGAAUGAAUGAUACUGAGGAAAGAGAUAAUAUCAUGCUGGAAGGGAUAUAUUGCAUUGGUUACUUCCGACAACCAAGGCAGAUAUCAAGGCAGAGCAGGCAAGGUUUUUGGCAGGCUACCAAGCCUAUAAUUACCCACCAUUACUCUUGUUGAGUAUCAGCAGAGCACCGGCAUCCUUUCAGGCUUCUUGAAUGUUACUGCAAUUCUGAAACCAGCAAUAUGCUCAUCCAGAAGUUUUGAGGUGUAAAUUACCAAGGGCUCAAUUUUAAAAAUGACUAAACUUCACAGGACUGUUUGAAGUUUCUUAUUACUAGUGCACUGUACAUAUCAUAAAGCUAAGAAAUACUUUUCAACUUUAUAGUGAAUAUCAAAAUCCAAUGGUCCAACUCAACUGCUGUUGUCAGCCUGUGAAGCCAAGAGAAGUGAGGGUGACGAGAGAUUACUGCCAACUCACCGAGAGAUGGUGCUGGCAUUGUGCAUGGACAACAGUUUGUAAGGCUUUGUCUGUGCAGUGUGCACUGAAUCCUAGGGACCAAUUUAAGAAGAGAACCCAGGAACAGUAAAAGCAUGAAGCCUAAUUCCUACGUGAGUGAGCUUGUGGAGAAAAGUAAAAAUGUCAGUAGCUUUGAAAGAUGUGCUACAUGUCACAUGCCAAAUUGAAGUGGAAUUUGGAUUAUUCCACAGAGCUUUGCUGUCUGUAAAGUCUGCUUCCUCCCGAGAUUUAAAGCAAACAAUAAAAAGUAUAUUGUAUCU